rfam:Salmo salar isolate Sally breed double haploid chromosome ssa01, whole genome shotgun sequence.
UGGCUAAGUUGGUAGAGCAUGGUGCUUGCAACACCAGCAUGGUGUGUGCAACGCCAGGGUUGUGGGUUCGAUUCCCAC